AAACCCUUAGCUCAAUCUGGCAGAGCAAUGGAUUGUAGAUCCAUCGGUUGCCGGUUCAAAUCCGGCCGUCCCGACCA
rnacentral:tRNA from 1 species